GGAUGUUAAGAAACUGUUUCUUAACUUUUAACUAAAAAAACUAAGAACUAGUUCUUAAAUAAGGACUUUAAGAACCGGUUCUUAUCUUUUUAGUUAAAAGUUAAGAAACAGUUACUUAACUUCC
rfam:Brassica napus, WGS project CCCW01000000 data, contig: 6635